rnacentral:rRNA from 1 species
GGGUUGCCAAAUAAUGCAAGUCGAGCGAAAACAAGAGGAGCUUGCUCCUCUUGCUUAGCGGCGGACGGGUGAGUAACACGUGGGCAACCUGCCUGUAAGACUGGGAUAACUUCGGGAAACCGGAGCUAAUACCGGAUAAUCCUUUUCCUCUCAUGAGGAAAAGCUGAAAGUCGGUUUACGCUGACACUUACAGAUGGGCCCGCGGCGCAUUAGCUAGUUGGUGAGGUAACGGCUCACCAAGGCGACGAUGCGUAGCCGACCUGAGAGGGUGAUCGGCCACACUGGGACUGAGACACGGCCCAGACUCCUACGGGAGGCAGCAGUAGGGAAUCUUCCGCAAUGGACGAAAGUCUGACGGAGCAACGCCGCGUGAGCGAUGAAGGCCUUCGGGUCGUAAAGCUCUGUUGUUAGGGAAGAACAAGUAUCGGAGUAACUGCCGGUACCUUGACGGUACCUAACCAGAAAGCCACGGCUAACUACGUGCCAGCAGC